GGAGCACUAGCUCAGUUGGUAGAGCACCUGACUUUUAAUCAGGUUGUCGGGGGUUCAAAUCCCCCGUGCUUCA
rnacentral:tRNA from 1 species